ACUUUGUGAAUGAAAAGGACCUUCGACCGCUUGUUGCCACGGUAGUACAGGCCAAGAAGAGACCAAAUACGCUGGACGCCAGAAGUUUGUGGUAGAGCUUAGAACAACACAGAGGGAUCUUGGUCAGGAACUAGUGUGGAGACAGCUUUCCAAACAUACACCAGACUGUACAAAAUACACCCCAUUGUUACCCCGGUCCACCCCGGGAAAGAGGGUGUUCCCAUCAAGACUCCAUAAGAUUCCUGUCCUCUGUUCUGCUGUGUAUUGGGAAAAGGACCUUUGUAAGGCCACCAAAGUUGCCGAAGAGCUUCACAACAUCCUUUCAGAAUGUCUUGGAAGCACCACUCAGGAGUCAGUUGCAUAAGAAGGACUUGUGAGCUUGGUAAAGAUGGUGGGCAGGGUAACACAGCCGGAAAUCCACAAAACCAUCUUUGAGUGUCUACUGUGUUAUGUCAAAGCGGGUGACAGAAUGUGUGACAUCCUUUUGGAAGAGAACAUUGUUCAACUUUCAACUUAUUGCCUAGAAAUG